rnacentral:rRNA from 1 species
UCCGUAGGUGAACCUGCGGAAGGAUCAUUAACACUAAUCCAACUCAACUCAACGAAGCCUUCAGUUGCAGCAGCAGUACAGCAAGCGUAAGCAAGCAGUGCCGCAGCUGCAGCACCAAAACAAACUAAUUCAUACAAAGGAGCCUAACUAAGCUCAACCACAAAAACCAAAUUCUCAACGAUGGAUAUCUUGGUUCCCAUAACGAUGAAGAACGCAGCGAAGUGCGAUAAGCAAUGCGAAUUGCAGAACCGUGAGUCAUCAGAUUUUUGAACGCAACUGGCGCCGAUUGGGUCUCCAGUCGGCAUGCUUGUUUCAGUGUCUUGUUUUCUCCUCACCCAAAUCUUAAUGCGAGAGAUACCCUUCUCUUGUUAAGCAUGAAAGCACUCUGCGCUCUGCGAGUGGCUUCGACUUGUUCGAGGGCCACACUCAAUGCAGCAGUCACAUUGCUCACAAUGUGAACUCAUUGAGAGUAGAGGCAGUGCAGCGUCAGCUGCCAGUGCUUAGUCACACUAACUUUCUUUGGCAUCUGGAAAUCAAGGCAGGGAUCACCCGCUGAACUUAAGGCAUAUCAAUAAGGCGGGGAGGGGAAGGGUCGGACUGGCCAAGGGCACACAGGGGAUA